rnacentral:rRNA from 1 species
UGGGGAAUAUUGCACAAUGGGCGCAAGCCUGAUGCAGCCAUGCCGCGUGUGUGAAGAAGGCCUUCGGGUUGUAAAGCACUUUCAGCGGGGAGGAAGGCGAUAAGGUUAAUAACCUUGUCGAUUGACGUUACCCGCAGAAGAAGCACCGGCUAACUCCGUGCCAGCAGCCGCGGUAAUACGGAGGGUGCAAGCGUUAAUCGGAAUUACUGGGCGUAAAGCGCACGCAGGCGGUCUGUCAAGUCGGAUGUGAAAUCCACGGGCUCAACCUGGGAACUGCAUUCGAAACUGGCAGGCUAGAGUCUUGUAGAGGGGGGUAGAAUUCCAGGUGUAGCGGUGAAAUGCGUAGCGAUCUGGAGGAAUACCGGUGGCGAAGGCGGCCCCCUGGACAAAGACUGACGCUCAUGUGCGAAAGAGUGGGGAGCAAACAGG